GGACUACUCGGGUUUCUAAUCCUGUUUGCUCCCCACGCUUUCGUGCAUGAGCGUCAGUGUUAUCCCAGGGGGCUGCCUUCGCCAUCGGUAUUCCUCCACAUAUCUACGCAUUUCACUGCUACACGUGGAAUUCUACCCCCCUCUGACACACUCUAGCCAUACAGUCUCAAAUGCAGUUCCCAGGUUGAGCCCGGGGAUUUCACAUCUGACUUAUAUAACCGCCUGCGCACGCUUUACGCCCAGUAAUUCCGAUUAACGCUUGCACCCUACGUAUUACCGCGGCGGCUGGCAC
rnacentral:rRNA from 2 species